rnacentral:misc_RNA from 1 species
UGAUAGUACUUGCUACAUUAGUGGUGAUAGGGGUAGGAAGUUUGCCUAUGGGAUUGGAAAUAUAUUCAUUCAUUCAUUCAUCAAUUUUCAUCAUUCUAUAUAGAGGCACUUUGGUUAUUAAUUGUUCUAGAGUUCUUUUUUAGCAUGACCUUCUUUUAUGAUUGGUUGGUUUGGGAAUUUUGAAUGAUAAUUGACUUGAUA